UUCAAUGGCACAUACAUUUUCAGCACUCUUUCUAGAGCAGGGAACAUGGACAUCCAGCGAACAUUGCUGAGUCCGAAAAUGUUAUGGUAGUCCUGGCCAACAAACUCACAAAAACUCUUCAGUCUUUCUACUCUGACGGUAAAAAUAUUAAAAUAUCUUUGUGAGCAGGUACUCAACAUCAUGGGGAAUCAUAUCCAAAGCUGUUCUGGCCAUGUUAUGAAUGAUGUGGGCAGGACAACCUAAGCCAAUCACCUCCCGCUGCAGAGGAUAUUUAACUUUGUUAUGGACAUUGACCCUCCCCGGGUGGUGGUGUGGAACAUGGUGAGAAGUCCAGAGCCAAAGGAACCAACGCAGGCCCGGAGUAGUGGCCUAGAAGAUGGUAAUCGUAGAAGGAGUCCUGAACCAAAGGGACAAACGCAGACCUGGAGUGGCCCAGAAGUUAAGCUAUGAGAACCGUUCCAAACGAUGAGAAGAUCUGAAGGCUCCGUUUAAGAGACUACAAACCUCCUGGAAUGAGAAGAAAUAAGAGGUCACUCUUCUGAUAUGACUGAUCUCGCCGAAUACAUUGCCACAGCAACUUGGUUGGAAUCCCUGGAAGUUGGCGUUCCCAAAUUGCCAAAUGGGCUGCUGCAGCAUGUGUUUUUUUGCUUAGUUUGCCUAAUUGUGUUAUUAACAUGCUGUGUAUGUCUAUUUUUUUUUAUAAAUUCACUCCCAUCAAUAGAAGUAUAACCUUUAUUAUGAUGAUAGUAUUACCAUACUAAUUCGAUUGUAUAACCCAGAAUGAAGGGUUUGAAGGUGUCGGUCUCAUUAAAUUUAGGGAGUAGGGAAUGUGGAGGAAAAUGGAUUGUCUGGAGACAGCCUUGAACUGUACAUCUUGUCUCAUAAAGUCAUGAGUUCCUGUAGGUGCUGGGUAGAGGUAUUAAGGGGAGACGCUCCCUCCUCAGACCUUUUGGCAGAACCCCCAGAAUGUGUUCUAUAAGUUAAGAUAGGAGACGGUGCCAGACACAUGCAGGAACCAACCCUAUGAACCAUGCCUAUGUAGCUUGUCUGCGUAAGCAGUAUAUAAGAGAACUAACGGGACUUCCCCAUAGAAGCUCACUUCAGACCAGUACUUUAUGCAUCUAAGUUUGACUGUAACCUCUCCAGCUUGCUGUUAAUAAAGAAUGAUUCAUUUAA